AUCACGUAGGAUUAACAGCAGAAGGAACCUAGUCCUCAAAGUUAAUGAAAAUACUGCUGGUGAAGGUCAGGAAGGCAUGUUCAGAACUACAGCAUGGUCUCUGUAAAUAAAGCCCUGGCCCACAGCACACUUACUGUGCCACUCCUCAUCCCUGCAGACCAAGUGUCUCUGAUGAAGACUUACUUUAAUUGUUCCAUGUCUGCUGAUGUGUUUAAUUAAAGGCUUACGUGGCUACAUCUUUGGUGACAAAAUGUGAGGUGAUCACAAGCAUGAAUAAGUGCCCAUUCCCCUGGGAGCCCUGGAGAUAUGUUAGAUGCCAAAAGCUGCAUAUUUGAAACUGGUCCUAUAGUAGAGCAAGUAAAUAUUAUCAAUAUUUGGGAAGGAUUCCUUGACCAAAUAAGGACUUUAAAAACUAGAAAGAGAAGAGAGAGCCUGCAGGAUAUGAAGAUAUUGAUGAGGAUGAUAAGCAGUGUGUUACAGAUUAGAAGAUGAAAGGAGAAGGAGCAGUGAGCGAGUCCCAUGGUGGCUGCUGCAGUAAAGGUGACCACAUCCCUCAGAGCCUCUGCAUCAG